GGGGAAUUUUCCGCAAUGGGCGAAAGCCUGACGGAGCAAUACCGCGUGUGGGAGGAAGGCCCUUGGGUCGUAAACCACUUUUCUUAGGGAAGAAGCUCUGACGGUACCUAAGGAAUAAGCCUCGGCUAACUCCGUGCCAGCAGCCGCGGUAAUACGGAGGAGGCAAGCGUUAUCCGGAAUUAUUGGGCGUAAAGCGUUCGUAGGUGGCUAGGUAAGUCUGUCGUUAAAGCGUGGAGCUUAACUCCAUAACGGCGGUGGAAACUGCCUGGCUAGAGUAUGGUAGGGGUAGCAGGAAUUCCCAGUGUAGCGGUGAAAUGCGUAGAUAUUGGGAAGAACACCAGCGGCGAAAGCGUGAUACUGGGCCAUUACUGACACUGAGGGACGAAAGCUAGGG
rnacentral:rRNA from 1 species